UACUAGAUAGCACUCGCAUAUCAAUAAGCGGAGGAAAAGAAACUAACAAGGAUUCCCCUAGUAACGGCGAGUGAAGCGGGAAGAGCUCAAAUUUGAAAUCUUAAAGGGUUUCCCUUUACGAAUUGUAGUUUAAAGAAGUGUUUUCUGUUGAGGUUUUGGUAAAAGUUCUUUGGAAUAGGACAUCAUAGAGGGUGAGAAUCCCGUAUUUGACCUUUACUUUCAACUUUGUGAUACACUUUCAAAGAGUCGGAUUGUUUGGGAAUGCAGUCCAAAAUGGGUGGUAAAUUUCAUCUAAAGCUAAAUAUUGGCGAGAGACCGAUAGCGAACAAGUACCGUGAGGGAAAGAUGAAAAGAACUUUGAAAAGAGAGUUAAACAGUACGUGAAAUUGUCAAAAGGGAAGCGUUUGACACCGGUGUUGUUUUUCUGAAAAUCAAUUAAAGAACUGUUUAUGCUAAGUUGUUUAGACUUUAUCAGCUAACUGUUUAGUUUUGAGCUUUUCUUUAAUGCACUUUUCAGUUAACAAGUCAACAUCAAUUUCUUUUGCUGUAAAAAAGCUUGAGGAAGGUGGCUUGAGAUUCGUCUUAAGUGUUUAUAGCCUCUUGCCUAUGCAGUCGGAGAGAUCGAGGUCUGCAGCGUAGAUCCUUCGGGGCUAAAUGCAUUUGUGCUAAGUUAUAGCAUUUUAUAGACAACUUGUUGACUAUGAUUUGUCUUGUAGCUUACUCGCUCAUGUUAUUUUACCUACGCUUAGGAUGUUGAAGACUCUACAGAGAUA
rnacentral:rRNA from 1 species